rnacentral:pre_miRNA from 1 species
GCCAUUGAUAUUGUCCUGUCACAGCAGUAUUGAAAACUAUAUUAUAGCUUACUGCUGGGUCGGGGCAUUAACAUUGUU